CGGGCGAAUCGGGUGGCGUUUCCUCUUGCUCCUCAUAAGCUGCUUCGAAUGGAUCCUUGGAUUGCUUCAUUGGCCUUUGUCCUUCAACUUUUUAAUACACAAUUUCGGAUCAACCAAGACAAGAUCUCAGGAGCAUUUUCACAAACNNACGGGAGUCCAUAGACCAUGUAAGAACGGAGAAUUUGAAACCCUAAAAAGCAAAGACAAACC
rnacentral:misc_RNA from 1 species